GAUGAACGCUGGCGGCGUGCCUAAUACAUGCAAGUCGAGCGAACGGACGAGAAGCUUGCUUCUCUGAUGUUAGCGGCGGACGGGUGAGUAACACGUGGAUAACCUACCUAUAUGACUGGUAUAACUUCGGGAAACCGGAGCUAAUACCGGAUAAUAUUUUGAACCGCAUGGUUCAAAAGUGAAAGACGGUCUUGCUGUCACUUAUAGAUGGAUCCGCGCUGCAUUAGCUAGUUGGUAAGGUAACGGCUUACCAAGGCAACGAUGGAUAGCCGACCUGAGAGGGAGACCGGGAACAGGGGGAGUGAGGGAAGGCCCAGAGGGCUACGGGAGGAAGGAGUGGGGAAGAUAGAACAAUGGGCGGAAGGCGGAGACAGGAACGCCGCGUUCGGGAUGACUGCCGUCGGGGUGUAAAACGCUGUCGCCGGUGAGGAAGCGGGAGUGACGGUAAUGGGUAAAGAAGCACCGGCUAACUACGUG
rnacentral:rRNA from 1 species